ACGCGGGGCGGCCGGACCGGCGGGGCGCAGCGGUAGGGAUAUUACCGAGUUUACAACUCCCAAACCCAAUGUGAACGUUACCAAACUGUUGCCUCGGCGGGAUCUCUGCCCCGGGUGCGUCGCAGCCCCGGACCAAGGCGCCCGCCGGAGGACCAACCAAAACUCUUAUUGUAUACCCCCUCGCGGGUUUUUUUAUAAUCUGAGCCUUCUCGGCGCCUCUCGUAGGCGUUUCGAAAAUGAAUCAAAACUUUCAACAACGGAUCUCUUGGUUCUGGCAUCGAUGAAGAACGCAGCGAAAUGCGAUAAGUAAUGUGAAUUGCAGAAUUCAGUGAAUCAUCGAAUCUUUGAACGCACAUUGCGCCCGCCAGUAUUCUGGCGGGCAUGCCUGUCCGAGCGUCAUUUCAACCCUCGAACCCCUCCGGGGGGUCGGCGUUGGGGAUCGGCCCUGCCUUGGCGGUGGCCGUCUCCGAAAUACAGUGGCGGUCUCGCCGCAGCCUCUCCUGCGCAGUAGUUUGCACACUCGCAUCGGGAGCGCGGCGCGUCCACAGCCGUUAAACACCCAACUUCUGAAAUGUUGACCUCGGAUCAGGUAGGAAUACCCGCUGAACUUAAGCAUAUCAAUAAGCGGAGGAAAAGAAACCAACAGGGAUUGCCCCGAUAAACGGCGCAUU
rnacentral:sRNA from 1 species